CCUACGGGUGGCAGCAGUGGGGAAUUUUGGGCAAUGGGCGCAAGCCUGACCCAGCAACGCCGCGUGAAGGAAGAAGGCUUUCGGGUUGUAAACUUCUUUUCUGAGGGACGAAGAGAGUGACGGUACCUAAGGAAUAAGCCACGGCUAACUACGGGCUAGCAGCCGCGGUAAUACGUAGGUGGCAAGCGUUAUGCGGAUUUAUUGGGUGUAAAGGGCGUGUAGGCGGGAAAGCAAGUCAGAUGUGGAAACUCAGGGCUUAACCCUGGGCCUGCAUUUGAAACUGUUUGGCUUGAGUGCGGGGGAGGCAAUCGGAAUUCCGGGUGUAGCGGUGAAAUGCGUAGAUAUACGGAGGAACACCAGUGGCGAAGGCGGAUUGCUGGACAGUAACUGACGCUGAGGUGCGAAAGCGUGGGGAGCAAACAGGAUUAGAUACCCCAGUAGUC
rnacentral:rRNA from 1 species